CCUACGGGUGGCAGCAGUGAGGAAUAUUGGUCAAUGGCCGGAAGGCUGAACCAGCCAAGCCGCGUGAAGGACGCAGGUGCCAAGCAUUGUAAACUUCUUUUGUCAAGGGACAACAUCAGGCUCGAGAGCCUGACCGAGUGUACUUGAAGAAAAAGCAUCGGCUACCUCCGUGCCAGCAGCCGCGGUAAUACGGAGGAUGCGAGCGUUAUACGGAUUUAUUGGGUUUAAAGGGUGCGUAGGCGGACUGUUACGGCAGCGGUAAAAGCCCGGGGCGCAACCCCGGCGAGCCGUUGAAACUGGCUGGCUUGAGAUGUCGAGAGGUAUGCGGAAUGCGCAGUGUAGCGGUGAAAUGCUUAGAUAUUGCGCAGAACUCCGAUUGCGAAGGCAGCAUACCGGCGGCGAUCUGACGCUGAGGCACGAAAGCGUGGGUAUCGAACAGGAUUAGAUACACGAGUAGUC
rnacentral:rRNA from 1 species